rnacentral:lncRNA from 1 species
GGAGCAGAACCCCAGAGUGAAUGAAGCUAAUUCCCUCAGUAAACAGGAAAGCAACAGAGAGGAAAUGUCCUUAAACAGGGAGCCAGGCUGAGAUCCUCUUUGGGACUGAACACGAACGACUACGCUGUUACGAUGACAUGGGGCUGCUGAAUCCAACUGCCUGGUUUUGGAAAGGAUUUGAUGGAAAAUGCAAACCCAGCAUGGAGCGGUACGAUGAAGUACAAGACCAUGAAGUUGAUUGAACUCACCUCCAUUUUCUCCGGAAGGACAAAUUUUCUUGGAGUUUUACUU